GUUGAGAUCAUUUGUGUGGAAGCAUUUUUCGAAGCUACCUGGAGGACACAGAGCUAAGUGUCAUUAUUGCGGCAAAAGUUAUGCAGCCCAUAGUAAUUCCGGAACAAGCGGUUUGUCGACUCAUUUGGGUAGAUGUAAAGUGCGCAAAAAAUUAAAGGCUGCAAAUGAUGCAAAACAACAAACAUUAGUUCGUAAAAAAGGUAAAGGUAAAGGUAAAGAUGAUGGUAUUGCUAAGGUUAUACACGUAGGAUUUAAUAGAGAGGAUUGUAGAAUGGCACUUGUGAAAAUGAUAAUCAAAGAUGAGUUGCCUUUUAGAUUUGUAGAGAUUUGUAGAGGCUAAAAGGGUUUUUAGAGUUCAUGGAAACUUGUUGUCCGAAGUUUGAGGUACCAUCUCGAAGAACAAUUAUAAGGGAUAUUCUUGAAUUGUAUUAAAAUAAAAAGGGGCUGUUGAAAAGUGUUUUGACUACAAAUAAACAGAGAGUGUGUAUUAUCACCGACACAUGAACUUAAAUUCAAAUGUCAAACUUUAUGGUAGUUACGGCUCACUUUAUUGAUGAAGAGUGGGUUUUGCAUAAGAGGAUUCUCACUUUUACACCUAUAUCUAAUCACAAAGGAGAUGCCAUUGGGAAGUUAAUUGAAAAUUGUUUGAUUGAUUGGGGGAUUGAGAAGUUGUUCACAAUUACAGUGGAUAAUGCAAGUGCAAAUACACUUGCAAUAUCUUAUAUGAAGAAGAAGUUGGCAAAUUGGAGUGGAAAUUCGAUGGUUUUGAAUGGUUUAUAUAUGCAUGUGAGGUGUUCGGCGCAUAUAAUCAACUUAAUUGUGCAAGAUGGGUUGUCACAAGUGAAUCAAUCAAUAGCCAGUAUCCGAAAUGCAGUGAAAUAUGUUAGAUCCUCCCCUACAAGAUUACAAAAGUUCAAAACAUAUGUUGAUAUGGAGAAAAUCUCACGUGGAAGGCUUAUGGUGUUAGACAUGCUGACUCGGUGGAAUUCAACAUAUUUAAUGUUAGAAAAAAUGCUAGCAUUUGAGAAAGCAUUUGAUAGGCUAAAGGAAGAUGAUGGCCAUUAUACAAACUGGUUUGAUGAGGAUGAGAGUGAAAAAAAGGAGGUGGGGCCACCGACUAAUGAGGAUUGGGAAAAUUCAAAGAGGUUAGUCAAGUGUCUUUCAGUUUUUUAUUAUGUGACUUUAAAAUUCAGUAGCUCUUUAACAGUCACUUUCAAUAAUUACUUGAAUGAAAUGUGGAAAGUUUAUAUUCAUUUGAAGUCACUUGUUGAUUCUAAUGAUUUUUUGUUAAAUCAAAUGGGUUACAAGAUGGAGGAAAAGUUUGUCAAGUAUUGGGGUCAUUCUUUUAAAAAGGUUAACAUGUUGUUGAUUAUGGCAAAUGUGCUUGAUCCUCGCUGCAAACUUGACUUUGUUAUAUGGUGUUUUAGUAGCUUGUAUGAUAUUAGAAAGGUUGAUGAAUUGAGAGUUAACAUUAAAGAGUUGCUGUUGAAGCUUUUUGGAAGCUAUGGUGGUGAGAGUAAUCCAAACAGAGGUGAGAGAAGUAGUGAUGUGCAUGAUAGUGCUAGUAGUAGUCAUGGGUCAUUUGAUGCUUUUACACAAUUUAGAAAGAUGAAAGAAAGUUCAAAUGAUGACAUUAUUGGAAAAAAUGAUGUUGAAAAAUACUUGUUAGUGACUUGUGAGAGUGCUAGUAAUCCCCAUUUUGAUAUUUUGACUUGGUGGAAAUUGAAUGAGCCUCGGUAUCCGAUUUUGUCUCAAAUUGCCAAAGAUGUUUUGGUAAUUCUGGUGUCUACUGUGGCUUUUGAAUUAGCAUUUAGCACAUGAGGGUGCAUUCUUGAUCCUUUUAGGAGUUCUUUAACUCAUAAAACAGUUGAGUCGUUAAUCUGCACUCAAAAUUGGCUUCGCUCAACUCUAUUAGGAGAGCAUACAAUACAACCAAGUCAGGAGGAAGCUGAAUUCUAUGAAUUAGUUGAAACAUGUAAUAUUAUAAUUUAUUAUGUUAUUUUUUGUGAUUUCACUUAGAACAUUUUGUAUAUUAGAAUUAAUGAUUUUAAUAUAAUUGUUUCAAUUUCUUGAAGAAUUUUUUAGGCCAAUGCAAUCUCAACAACAACAACAAGUAGGUGAGGAGCAAAUGACAGUUGAUUGAUGUUGCUGACGAGUAAGUUUUCUUUAUUUUUUUUAAAAAACUAGUAUCUUAUCUAUAUAGACUGUUUAUUUAAUUAUUAAUUGUUUUAAAAUUAUUUUAUAGAUCCAAAUAUUGAGCUGGAAAAUGCCUAAAGUUGAUGUUGAUAUUGAUGAAGAUGAGAGAAUGUUGUUGGCGUUUGUUUCCAAAUUUUCUUUUUAUUUUGUGUUGUAAGUUGUAACUGUUGUUAUUUUUAUUUGUGUUUACAACAUUAUGUUCAUGUAGAUGGAGUAUUGGAGUUUGGUUAUGUAUUUUAAAAUCUUAAUAUUUCAUAUUUUGUAAGUACCUUAUUAGUAGUUAGUAAAAUAUUAGUGAUAAAAUGUGUUUUGAAUACUUUGUAUUUAUUGUUAAUAUUUGUAAUGAAAUUAGGAUGAACUAAUUGUUGAAAAAAUUAUUUCAUUCAUGAGGGCCAAUGGGCUAAAAAUUUAGAAAUUCAAAAUAGGCCUGAUAGGCCCAGAACCAAAAAAACCGAAUCAAACCGAACCGAUCCGCACAGAUCCGUUUAUGUUCGGUUUUUUUUAGUUCGGUUCUUAUUCGGUUUUUUUUAUAAAAUAACCAAUUUAAAUCGGUUCUUCUUAAUUUCGAUCUAAAUCGAACCAUGUCCACCCCUAAUAUAAAAUCUCUAAUUCAAAAAGGUUAAAAUAGUCCAUUAGUUAAUUUUAUUUUUUUUUAAAUGACGCUCGACCGAAGAAGAAAACAUUAAAAUGCCGAAGUAAACAAUCAGUAGCUAGCGGACAUCCCAAAGCUUAAAUUGUUGUAUUUGGUUGUUAUUAAUGUAAAAUUCCACUUUUAAAAAGUGAUUCUCUAUUUUUUUUUUUUGGGUGUUUUAGAAGUUCUAGUUUAGAAAAAAAAAAAAAAAAAAAGAGAAGGUAUCCUAAGAAAUUUGACAAAAGAUGACACCAACACCAGCUGAAAAAAUAAUAAUAAAUAACGUUUAACCUCCUCCAAUUAUUAAAAUAUAAUAUUUAAAUAACAUUAUGAAAAAAAUAAAUUUAGUUAACUUAUACAAUCUUUGUUGUUUAACUUCCUCAAAUUAUUUUUGUUUACGUAUUGAUUUUCUCAAGUUUGUUGUUCUCAUAUUACGAUCCAUACAAGGGCAGAACUAGGCACAGUCCUGAGGAUGCACCAAUAUUAUGAAUAUUUUAUGGUUGACCCCUUUACGUUUAAAAAAUUUACGUUUUAGUCUAUUCAAUUUUUUUGUUUGUCAUUAUGGUCUUCAUUGUUGCCAUCUUAAUAUUUCUGAUGUUGUAGUUGUUGGUUAUAAAUAAUUUUGCAACUGAAAUAUUUGAAUCGCGUUUCUCAUAAAAUAUAUAGAAUUACUAUAAUUUAAAAUUUGUAUCUUUGCGUUUCUAUUGCAAUAAUUUAGGCUCUCAAGUCAUAAUCUGUCAUCACCAAUUUUAUUACAUCACGAUCCGUUACCGACAAUCUUCCAAGUUAUGACUCAAAUUUGAUUUGCACUUGAUGUUUGAGCGCCAUUAUCACUACUAAAAACAACUAGCAAUAGAAAACUUUUUAUCUCAAAGUUAGAGAGAUUUAAAGAGAAAAAAUUUCUUUUCAUCUGUUCUAUAUGUUAUGGCUUUCUUCUUUUUCUUAUAAAAAAAAUUAUAUUUUUUUGAUGGAAAUCCUAUAUCUCUUUUCUAAUUCUCUUAUCUCAAAAAUGUUUAAUUUAAUUUAAAAUAUAAGAUAAAGUCAAAAGUGAUGACACAUCAUUUGUGCUUGUUAUAAGCCCUAUCUUGUAAAAUAACAUAAGGCCCCUUAUAUACGAGCAUAUUAAAUGGAGUCUCCCAUCAAAUAAUAAAUUUAGUCUUUUAACAUAAAUAACUAGUUGUUUUUAUUAGUUCAGUAGUAGUGCAGCCAAUUAAGUGAGCAAACUCGGGGUCAUUUGGUCACAUACAAUAAUGGCUACAAUAAGUGGGACAUGUAAUUAAACUAACCCGAUUAGUUAAUUCCAAAUCUACUCUACUAAAAGAGUAGAACCGACCUCUAUAACUAUAUGUUAUCUAGGAUGAUAUUCUCAAAUAAUAAUUAGACUUAUGCCACAUUGAUUUAUUUAUUGAACAAUCCUUUGUACCAUAUUGUUAAUUAAAUUGAUAUCGCAACUUACUGUCUAAUCAAUUUAAUUACAUCUUAUUUCUUGACAAUUAAAUUGGUUUUCUCUAAUUUUCAUUUUUAACAUAACAGUUAUGUUGAUACACUUUGGCUAAGAAUUCUAUGAUCAAGUACUAAAAACCCGUCAAGAAAUGUGUUGUACAAAUUUUAUAUUGUUAAUCUAUAAUCUUGCUACUCAUAAUUGCUUCUACCAAGAUACCGAGUAAUCUUGACUAAAAACCGAGUAAUCUUGACUAAAAAUGCAUGUUGCACCCAUUGGUAAUUCAAAUGGAAUAACAAUCAUAAUCAUGAAAUUAUAAUGAACACAAGAUUAAGAUUGCAAUAAAAUUAAUAUCUAUAAGAUUUAAUAAGUCUAACAGUCAUUUUAAGGUUAAUUAAAUCUCAUAUAUGAUCUAGUUCAAUAGUCAAACUACAUAAGUAAAUUUAUACAUAAUUAAAAAAAAUUAUUUAAUGAAUUUACCACAGUCUAAAUAUAAAUAAAGCACCCAACUGUUUUUUAUCAACUGCGAAUUCAAUUAAUUUAAUCAUAAGAUAAUUUAUAUUUAUAUGUCUUUGAAUCCAUAUAAUGAUCAUACAAAUACAUAUAAUAUAAUUAAAUAGACCUCACUCAAAAUAUUUAUGCAAUUAAGAUAUCAAAAAAAAUAUUUCAAAUAUUUUAUUAAUAAAAAAUAUAUUCAUAAAUAAGUUAAUAUACUUUAAAGAGCACAAAAUCUCAACAAUAACCAAAUUAUAUUUAUGGCUUCUUUAUUUUGGCCACCCUCAAACCAAAAUACUAGUUUCGCCUCGAAGAAAGUUCCUAAUUCCUCCGUAAGAUUACGUCCAUAUCAACUGUAUGUAUGACAUCCUAAACUUCUCACACAUGUUACAAAAUUUCAUUAUGUAUCCUUUUAUAUAUAUAUAUAUAUAUUUUAACUUAUUCAUUAUAUUUUAAAUGUAAUAGAACAUUUGAGACGUAAAAAAUAUUUGAGCCUUUGAGGUAUGUAACAAAACCCUUAUGACACCUAAGAUAUGUAACUAAAAAUUUAAAAAAAUUAUACAUGUAAUUGAUUUUAAUUUAAAUUUUAAGAUGUGUUCGACAAUAACAUAAAACAAUACUCUUGAAUUCUUGGCCACCUUACUUUAGUGAAAACAAAACAUUGAUAAGCAUUUAUUAAAAUAUGCAACCUGCAAAUUCAAAAAAAAAAAAAAAAACAAGUGAAACAACCUGGUGAGUGAAGAGUUUUGUUUGGAUAAUUACAGUUUCACCCUUAAAGUAUGAUAAAUAUAGAUUCUAGAAAGUUUUGGAGUUGAACAAAAUAUUCCAUUAGUAGUAAAUAGUAACUUAGCGUACAUAUUUAACCCAAAAAAAAAAUCCUACUUCUAAUGAUCCCUAAGAAUUUAUUUAAAAUUAAUGAAAAUUAUUUGAUUCCACUCCUAAUCACCCCAAAUAUCAUCUAAAUGAUGAAAUGGAAAUGUUAAGUUAAAUAUCUUUUUAUGACACAUUUAUAUCCUAGAAAUAAACAUAUGUUGAUAAAAUUAUAAUGUUAUUUUUAAAUAGUUUAAAAAGGUAAAGACUCAUAGAAAACUUGGGUUUAAAAUGUGGGACAAAGCUAUGGUGCAUCGGGUGCACUGUACCCCUAUUUUUAACUAUUUACAGUGUCGUCCCUCUCAUUUAUUGAAAAUUAAAAAAAUUAGAGAUUUUAAAAUUUUAACAUGUGUAAAAUUUUUGACAUUAUUAUUUGUUCAUAUAUUAAUGUUAUUGGUAAAUUAUUAUUUUUUACAUAUUCAAAUUAAUUACUGUAGGUUAAAUAGAUUUUACAUUGUUUCUAAAAAAAAAGAUUUUGCAUUAAAUUAUUUUAACAGACUAUUCUCCUUACAUUAUCACUAAUUUUAAUAGUCAAAUUAUGUCAAUUUAUCAAAGUAUAAAAAUUUUAAACAAUUCAAAAUUAUAUGUCAAAUUUUAUAACCUUUGACUUUCUUAUUUUUUCAGAAAACGAUAGGGACAUCAAUGUUAAAAACCAAACAAAAGACAUCCACACCAUUGAAACAAUUUUCAUGUUAGAUCUAAUGGCCAACUUAUGUACGGAGAAAAUGGGGUGCAAUUAAUCAAUUUCCAUGUUAGAUCCAUGUUAGAUACAAUUGCUAGGACAUAAUUAAUCAAAUUAAAAAGUAUUAUUUUUUUAAUCAUAAAAUUGAAUAUAAGUUUUCUCCUAGAAUCCUUGUAGAAUGGGAAUAAAUCAUCAAUCAAAAUUUCAAUAGGCUAUGUGAAGAGCUUCUAUGGCAGUUAAAUUUUUAUUUGUCCAUGUUUCUUGGAAAGAGAUCUCUUGUUUUUCUUUUCCAUCCACAUUUAGAACAAACAUUAAUAACUAAUAAAAACAAAAUUUAUGAGCGUUGAUACGUUAUGUGCCAACUUCGAAAAUUCCAACUUGUAGUUAUGACUUGCCACCAAUUUUAACGUUUGUUACAUUUCAUCUAGGAAAAUUCUGGAAAAAAAUCCAAAUAGAAAAUUUUAAUUAAGUUGGUUAGAUAUUUCUAUGCCUCAUCUUUUAGGUUGAAAGUUCAAGUUUAAUGAUAAGUAUGAGAAUUCAUUUAUUUAUUAUUUCAUUUAGGGGAUGUUUGUUUUUUGAUUUAGUGGCUUAAAAUGACUUAAUUAGUUAAGUCAGUUGAAGAUGUUUAUUUUUAUAAUUUAAUGAGACUUGUGAUAUAUUUUUGACUGAAUAAAAUAAGUCAUUUUUUUUAUUUUACUGAUUAAAAAAAAUCUGAAUAAGGUAAUUAAAUUUUAAUAUAAAAAGUAUCCCUAUUUUAUUUAUUUAUUUUUUAUACCUACCCAAAAAACCACGCAUAUAUACCCCACUAAUAAACUCACGUUUUAAUAAUUUGUAUUUACAAAAUCUUUUUUUUUUAAAUUAGAUUUUAAUUCAUCCUUUACGGUGUGAACUUAGGUUUAGGGCUUUAGGGUUAAGAAGUGCUCUAUCAUUUUCCAGUUUAUAUUAGUUUUGCUAAAUUUUAUUGCUAGCUAUCAUGAUUUCUUUAUUAUUUAUUAAACUGCAUUUAACGUGUUUAUCUAACAUAAAGCAAAGUAGUUUGGCUUGAGCAAAUGAUAAUUUAUUUGGCCGUAAGAUUCCACAAUUUGAAAGGAUAUUAAUGCAUGCAGCAUAGUUUGGCAUGUGUUGUUCUGUACUCUAAGUUUAGAAGUAAAUCGCUUCCUUUGAUAAACCACCACAAUUGGUUACACUCGUAGUUUUUUGUAGAAUUUUUGUUCAUUUUUUUAAGUAUUUUGUUUUUUUUUUUUUAUAAUUUAGGGUUGGCAAAUUAAGGGCUUGAGUUGUGAUUUUUCAAGCUCAGACUCAAACCCAUUAGAUAAGAAGUGCAAGGGCUGGGCCUAAGCCGGGCCCACUGUAGACUUGGGCUUUUACUUAUUUUUUUAAAAAUUUUUAAAAAUUGUUGUAAACUUGAAAUUAGUUAAUAAUAAUCAAGUUGUUAUAAUCAAUAGUGAAUGAAAAUAAAUAAAUAUUUUAAAAUAAAAUAAUAAAUAAAGAAAUAAAAGUUUAGAGAUUUAGGUGGCGUUUAUUUUUUUAUCUGAAAUCUGAAUAGACCUGAAUUAAUAUGAAUUCUGAAUAGAUCUAAAUGUCUGAAUCUGAAUAAUAUGUUUAUUUUUUUGUCUGAAUCUCGAAAAAUAAGUAUUAAGUUGUUUGUUUUUUUCAACUUAAAAAGCUAAAAAUAUGUACUUUUACAUUUGUAUCCUUAUUAAAUUUGAAUGUCAAAUAAAUAAUAAAUUAAAUACCACAAUAUUUUAACAUUUAUAAGUAAAACUAUAUUCAAGUGAAUACAUAAUUAUUUUAGAAUUUUAAUAUAUAAAAUACCAUAAAUUUUAAAUUUUAUCGUAUAUAAUAUAAGAAAGAAAAAAUAGGGAAAUUUUUAUGUGGGGUAAAUGUCUAUGGGUGAGUUUUGGGAUAGACAUGAAAAAUAAAUUAUAAAGCAGGGAUAUUUUUGACAUUAGCAAGUAAUUGACUUAAUUCAGAUUUCUCCAUUAAGUAAAAAGCCAAACAAAUUGGCUUAUUUUAUUAAGUCAAAAUUAUCUAAAAAGUCUCAUUAAGUUAUAAAAACAAACACCCCUAAUUAACUUAAAUAAUUAAGUUAAGUCACUUUAAGUCAUUAAGUUAAAAAACAAACGCCACCUUAAUUUUUAGUAAUAAAUUCUCUAAUUCAACCAUUCUCUUAACUAAUUAACACUUAAAAGAGAGUUUAGUAUUAUAAUUUUAAGUUUUUUUGAUUCAUUAUUGAUAUAUAAAUUAGGAAUUUAAGCUUCUUCUUUUUUAAAUUUGAAUUCAUUAUUCUAAUUUAUAAAUUUAUCAUUUAAAAAAAAGAGAGCUUGGGCAUGGUUUGAGCUUUUUUUCCUAGGCCUUUGUCCAGGCCCUCAUGUGCGAAACUCGGGUCAAAGCCUGUGAGAAUGGGCCGGGCCGAAUCUUUUUUGCCAUCUCUACCUUAUAUUAUGCGCUAUUAUUGUGAAGUUUUGAUCAUUUUAAAGCUUAAAGUAUUUUAUAUAUUAUAAUUUCAUAACCAUUCACUUGAAGAUGAUUUAGGUCAUGAUAAAACAUUAUCAUAUUUAGGUUCUUUAAUAAAUAUAUUAUUUAUUCAACAUUUAAACUUAGUAUGUGUACAAAUGUAAAAGUAAAGGUUUUCAAGUUUUUUAAGUUGAAAAAUAAAUAACUUAAUAUUUAUUUUUAUAUAUUAAAAAAAUAAAUAUAUGAUUCAGAUUCAAAUAUUCAAGUCUAUUCAAAUUCAAACUAGUUCAAUUCUAUUCAGUUAGAUAAAAAAAACACAACCUUAGUUUUACUUUUAGAUUUCUAGUUUGAAUUUCAACUUUGAUAUAUUAAGGCAGACCCCAUCAGAUAUAUUGAGGCAGGCCCAUCAGACAUAUUGAGUUAUCACUAAUUUAAAAAAAAAGAAAAGGUACAUUAUCUUUGUGACCAAGGACUUGACAAAAAAAUAAUUUAGACUUUAUCCACCCAUUUAUUUAUUUUUUUUAAAUAAAUCGUAAAAAAAAGUGCAUUAACUUUGACACUAAGGGCCUAAAUGAGUAGUUUUCUAUUGGAGUUCGAAUCUAAGAAAAAUAGGAGGUUAAAAAAAUUAAUUUAAACUUUACAGACUUUGAUGAAUUUUUAAAAUUUCAUAAUAAUAGUGGCACAAAAAAUAAUGCUAUAGGAUAAAAAAAAAUUCAUUGCAAGAUAAAAAAAAUUUCACUAAAAGAGAAAUUAUUUUUUAUAUCUUAUUUGCUAAGUUCUACACUCCUUUCAGUACAAACAUCAUUAUUUAUAAAAAUUAUGGGAUGUCUAAUAAGCUCCUAUAUUUAAUAUAAAGGUUUUAAAAACAUUAUCAAAAGAUAUAAUAAUAAAAAAGAGUUUUGAGGGUCCGAGUCACUUUUUACAACAUUAGAAGUUUGUAAACAGUUGAGUAGUUUAAUGAUGCAAAUGACUCCUGAAUAUAUGAAGCCAAAGAAAGAGACAUAAAGCGCGGUUUCGAACCAAAACCCAUCUCUGCGCUUGAAUUUCUCAAUGCCAACUUGAACAAAGAAAAUAAAAGCAUUUGUGGGUUUUGGCUGGUUUGAGCUGUGAUGGAGGGUAGCGAUAUUAUUUACUGGGCUACUAAUAGUUUACGUAGAAGUGCUUCUAGAUGGAGAAGCACUUCUGAGGGUGCAUUUUCAAGGUCCUCAAGAGAAGAAGAAGAUGAUGAGGAGGCUCUAAAAUGGGCAGCUCUCGAGAAGUUACCUACGUAUGAUCGUUUGAGAAAAGGAAUAUUAACCACUUCGAGCGGACGUGCUAAUGAAAUUGAUGUUGACAAUCUUGGACCGCAAGAAAGGAAGUGGUUGAUUGAUAAAUUGGUGAACGUCACAGAUGUUGAUAAUGAGAAGUUCUUGCUGAAGCUCAGGGACCGCAUUGAUAGGUAUAUUUUUUUUUUUUUCAAAGUUUUCUUGGAAGCCAAACAGAGGAGCUCUGUUCUUGUUCUUUGAGUUAUGAUUUUUCCCUUUUCUUUGAUAAUUUGCAGGGUUGGAAUAGACCUUCCCAAAGUCGAAGUUCGAUAUGAGCAUGUGAAUGUUGAAGCAGAAGCGUUUUUAGCAAGCAAAGCCCUGCCAACUUUUACUAGCUUCUUUACCAACAUCAUUGAGGUAGCAAUCCACAUAUAUAAAUAAUUAAGUUUUCAGUUGAAAUUGUUCGUGUUUAUGUUAAUUAAAAUUGGUUGUGUUUGAAGGGUUUCUUGAACUCUCUUCAAAUUCUUCCAACUAAAAAGAAACACUUGACAAUCCUGAACGAUGUCAGUGGAAUCAUAAAGCCAGGCAGGUGAGAACUGAACUCCAGUUCUUUUUUAUUUUACUUGUAUUUUCUUGAAUUUAUGGGUAUAAGCUCAAAUGGUGCAGAAUGACAUUGCUUUUGGGCCCUCCAUGUUCUGGAAAGACCACGCUUUUGUUGGCUUUGGCGGGAAAGCUUGAUUCUAAGCUAAAGGUAGUUCUAUAUAGUCAGUAAGAGCUCUAAUUAUUUCAGAAAGUAUGGUCUCUAAUUGGAGAAUCAAAAUGCCUCUUUAUAGUUUUCUGGCAGGGUGACAUAUAAUGGUCACGGCAUGGAUGAAUUUGUGCCUCAGAGAACAGCUGCUUAUAUCAGUCAACAUGAUGUUCAUAUCGGAGAAAUGACUGUGAGGGAAACUUUGGCCUUCUCUGCUAGAUGCCAGGGUGUUGGAUCCCGUUAUGGUAGGUUUGAUUUUUCUUUUUUUAAUUUUUUAACCCUUUUGUUUUUACUUUGACUAUAAAUCCAACUCAUUCUUUUUUGGAAUUGAAGACAUGUUAACAGAGUUGGCCAGAAGGGAGAAGGAAGCGGGCAUUAAGCCUGAUCCUGACAUUGAUGUCUAUAUGAAGGUGAGAAAAGCUGAGAUAUGUUUCAAACCUGUUGUUUGUUACAAGUUUAGUUUCAACUUAAGAAUGUCUUCAAUCACGUGUUCAUGUGGCUUAAAUUAAAUCCUCGUAAACGUUAUGAUCAAUCUUAUAGAGUUAGAUGGGCAUCAAUCUUAUAGGCAAGGAGUUUCAUUAAUGGUGACUGAAUUUCUUGUAAUUCUCAGUCUUUCUCAUGUCUCAGGCAGCAGCAACUGAAGGCCAAGAAGCCAAUGUGCUCACAGAUUAUUAUCUAAAGGUUGUAGGACUUGAGGUCUGUGCUGAUACCUUGGUUGGUGAUGAAAUGGUAAGAGGAAUCUCAGGAGGGCAAAAAAAGCGUGUGACAACAGGUAAAUGCCAAAUUUAAAAAUUAUUUUCUAUUUUGCUCACAGAUUAGAACUACUGUCAAUUCUUGAAAACUACUAUCAACACUUGUGAAAAUUUCAUUCAAUUACAGGUGAAAUGAUGGUUGGACCUGCUUUGGCACUGUUUAUGGAUGAGAUAUCUACUGGUUUGGACAGCUCCACAACUUUCCAAAUUGUAAAUUCUAUCUGGCAAAAUAUUCACAUCCUUAAUGGAACAGCUGUGAUCUCUCUCUUACAGCCAGCACCAGAGACUUAUGAUCUAUUUGAUGAUAUUAUCCUUCUAUCUGAUGCUCAGAUUGUGUACCAGGGUCCCCGCGAACUGGUGCUAGAUUUUUUUGAAUCUGUGGGCUUUAAAUGCCCUGAAAGGAAGGGCGUGGCUGACUUCUUGCAAGAAGUAAGUGUAGAAAGAGCUGUUUAUGUGAUGUUUUCCAUUAAAAGAGAUUCUUAUGAGCUGAUUCUUGCAAGAAGUAGGUUCUAAAAACUAUGAUGAGCAUCAGAUGUAACUUCUCAUAUUCAAUCUUCACAAAUAAUAUGUGCAGGUGACAUCAAGGAAAGAUCAACAGCAGUAUUGGGUCCAUAAAGAGAUGCCUUACAGGUUUGUUACAGCCCAAGAAUUUUCCGAGGCGUUCCAAUCAUUCACUGUUGGACAGAAACUCGCAGAUGAGCUUCGAACUCCAUUUGAUAAGUGCAAGAGCCACCCAGCUGCUUUGACUACCAAAAUGUAUGGUGUGGGCAAGAAGGAGUUACUGAAAGCUAACAUCUCAAGAGAACUUUUAUUGAUGAAAAGAAACUCAUUUGUCUACAUCUUCAAGCUCACCCAAGUGAGUAUUAACAAACACAUAAGUUUUGAAUUGUUUUAAUCUGUUCUUGAACUGAUAAUGAUAUAUUGAUUUGUUCCCUUGCCUUUAGCUUUCAAGUAUGGCAUUGGUAUCUAUGACACUCUUCUUCAGAACAAAGAUGCACAAAGAUUCAGUAAGUGAUGGGGGAAUUUAUGUUGGUGCCACAUUCUUCGCUGUUAUGAUGACAAUGUUCAAUGGAAUGUCCGAUAUUUCUAUGACCAUAGCUAAGCUUCCUGUCUUCUACAAGCAAAGAGACCUCCGAUUCUAUGCAGCAUGGGCAUAUGCUCUUCCUGCAUGGAUCCUCAAGAUCCCUAUCUCGUUCCUGGAGGUUGCUGUUUGGGUAUUCCUUACCUAUUAUGUAAUUGGGUUUGAUCCCAACAUUGGAAGGUAAAUUUGCUAGUAACCAGAGAAGAUUUUAUCACAUGAUCUCUUUGUACAACUAGUUUACUAGGUAAUUUUUGUUGGUGCAGGUUGUUUAAGCAGUUCUUGCUGCUCUUGCUUGUUAACCAGAUGGCUUCUGCAUUGUUCCGAUUCAUUGCAGCAGCAGGCAGGAACAUGAUUGUUGCUAUGUCAUUUGGUUCAUUUGUAUUGCUCGUGCUUUUCGCCUUUGGUGGAUUUGUCCUUUCACGAGGUAUAAAAAGUAUAUAACCGAAAGAGAAACUUCUUUGUCAAGAUUUAACUAUGCUUCCAUUUAACUUUUAACAACACAGAGGACAUCAAGAAAUGGUGGGUAUGGGGCUACUGGUGUUCGCCAAUGAUGUAUGCGCAGAAUGCAAUAGUGGCUAAUGAGUUUUUUGGGCACAGUUGGCGAAAGGUAAUUCUCUGAAUGAACCUUUUACAUGAUUGUUUAUUUGCCUUUGAAAAAACAAAUGCUGAUGUCUAAUCUUUUCAUGUCACAGUUUACAAGUAACUCAAAUGAAACACUUGGUGUGCAAGUUUUAAAGUCUCGUGGAUUCUUCCCACAUGCAUAUUGGUAUUGGCUUGGAUUGGGGGCUACAAUUGGUUUUGUACUAUUGUUCAACAUCGGUUUCACCCUGUCUCUUACUUUUCUCAACCGUGGGUGUCUCUGCCUUCUUUACUUUAACUACUACUUUUAAAGAAGCGAGUUUAUGUUGUAAUUUUGUGCGAAUAUAUAUGUGCAGAAUUUGAGAAGCCUCGGGCUGUUAUAUCAGAUGAAUCUGAAAGUAAUGAUCUUGGUAACAGAAUUGGAGGAACAGCGCAAUUAUCAACCCAUGGAAGUAACUCCAGUCACAAAACUUGCUCAGGUGAUGAAGCUGUUUUUAUUUUUUUGACAAGUACCAGAUAUUUUGUAAGUGUCUUUUGAUGCUAACUAUUUAUGUUAACAAGUAGAGAGUGAAGACAUUACAGUGAAAGACUCCUUUUCCCAGUUGUUAUCCCAGAGAGAAGUCACUGUUGGGGCAAUUCAACCGAAGAAAAGAGGAAUGGUGCUUCCAUUUGAACCACAUUCCCUCACCUUUGAUGAAGUUACUUACUCUGUUGACAUGCCAAAGGUAACAUUAAUAUUAAAACCAAUGAAAGUAUGGAUGAUAUCUGGAUUCAAUACAUUGUAGUCCAGACAUGACAACUAAUUGGCUCAGUUUUAACAUUUCUAGGAAAUGAAACUUCAAGGUAUUCUUGAAGACAAAUUGAUGCUUCUAAAUGGUGUGAGCGGUGCUUUCAGGCCAGGUGUUCUUACAGCUUUAAUGGGCGUCAGUGGCGCUGGUAAAACCACUUUGAUGGAUGUGUUGGCUGGUAGGAAAACAGGUGGAUACAUUACUGGGAACAUAACAAUAUCUGGUUACCCAAAGAAACAAGAAACAUUUACUCGCAUUUCGGGAUACUGUGAGCAAAACGACAUUCACUCUCCUUUUGUUACUGUAUACGAGUCCUUGCUCUACUCAGCCUGGCUUCGUUUACCACCUGAAGUUGAUUCUGAAACCCAAAAGGUUUGUACUUAAAUUGCCUGCAGCGUUGCAUCAUUGAGACAGUUGAUUCCCUGAAUAUAUUCUUGGGUGUAGUCAUACUAGUUUAUAGUUUAACCCUUUGGUUUACAGAUGUUUAUUGAGGAAAUCAUGGAGCUUGUGGAGCUGAACCCAUUGAGACAAUCACUGGUUGGUUUGCCUGGUGAGAGUGGUCUGUCAACAGAGCAGCGUAAGAGGCUAACCAUUGCAGUUGAACUAGUGGCUAACCCGUCCAUCAUAUUUAUGGAUGAGCCAACCUCAGGGCUGGAUGCAAGGGCCGCUGCUAUUGUAAUGAGGACUGUCAGAAACACGGUAGACACUGGAAGAACAGUAGUGUGCACCAUUCAUCAACCAAGCAUUGAUAUAUUUGAAUCUUUUGAUGAGGUAAGAAAAAUGUUAAUACUGUAUCAUUUUUUUUGUUUUCCUUUCUUUUCCUGAGUGCUAUCAGCAUUAUUUAACAAUGGAUUGCAGCUGUUCCUAAUGAAGCGAGGGGGACAAGAGAUUUAUGUUGGGCCAUUGGGUCGCCAUUCUUGCCAUCUUAUACGCUAUUUUGAAGUAUGACCCUCGUGUUUACAUUAGAAAUCUUACUUGAUAUAAUAUUAAAAUUGACUUGCAUAAUUUACAUUAUGAAAGCAUCUGCAAUAUGAUACCUUUACCUUUAUGAAGGGAAUUCCCGGAGUAGAAAAUAUUAAGGAUGGCUACAAUCCGGCGACCUGGAUGUUGGAAGUUACAGCUAAAUCGCAAGAAUUAACUUUGGAGAUUGAUUUUACUGAUAUUUACAAAGGCUCCGAAUUAUACAGGUACAUAACCUGUAAACCAAAAUCCAUUCACCACUUUGCCAGUGAAUUUGUUUAGCUAAGGAUUGAUGCUGAUGUAUGUCAUGUGUGCAUCAGGAGAAACAAAGCACUCAUUGAAGAAUUAAGCAGGCCUGCUCCAGGUUCAAAGGACCUCUAUUUUCCUACUCACUACACUCAGUCAUUUUUCAUGCAAUGUGUGGCUUGCUUGUGGAAACAACACUGGUCAUACUGGCGAAAUCCACCAUACACUGCCGUUAGAUUUCUUUUUACGGCCGUCAUAGCUUUGACAUUUGGAACAAUGUUCUGGGACAUGGGCACUAAAAUGUGAGUUACAACAAGGACUCUUUAAAAUCUAUGUAAUUACAUUGCAGCUUGAUAUGCCUUCCAUACUAAAUUUUGAAAUUUUAAUUCCUAGGAAAAGGAACCAAGAUCUGUUCAAUGCAAUGGGUUCCAUGUAUACUGCUGUAUUCUUCCUCGGUGCUCAAUAUUGUUCAUCAGUGCAGCCAGUAGUCGCUGUUGAAAGGGCAGUAUUUUGCAGAGAAAAAGGAGCUGGAAUGUAUUCUGCCAUGCCAUAUGCAUUUGCACAAGUACUCUUUUUUACUCAUUAUCUAUUUGUUUUAAUUUUCAAAGCAACUGUGUUUCUUUACUGAUGUUCUAUUUUCUUUUCUGCAGGUUAUGAUUGAGAUACCUUACAUAUUUGUUCUGUCAGCAGUGUAUGGUAUUAUAGUCUAUGCCAUGAUUGGAUUCGAAUGGAUAGCCGCCAAGUUCUUUUGGUAUUUGUUCUUCAUGUUCUUCAGUUUAUUGUACUUCACCUUCUAUGGCAUGAUGACUGUGGCUAUGACACCAAACCACCACAUUGCUGCCAUUGUUUCGAUUUUAUUUUACGGGUUGUGGAAUGUCUUUUCCGGGUUUGUUAUCCCCAGAACGGUAAGUAUAUUGUUUUCAAUUUUCCCAUUUCUAAUUUAGAUGCUGGAUAUCAUUGCUUAUUAGAAAUGUUUUAGCUAAUUGUUUCCUUAUCUUUUAACUUUAGAUACUAGAUAGAUUUCACAGUUUACUGAAACUUUGUAGCUAUUGUUUCUCCUUGUCUUUCAACUUGUCAAACAACAGAGGAUUCCUCUAUGGUGGAGAUGGUACUAUUGGGCAAACCCUGUAGCUUGGACCAUGUAUGGAUUGGUUGCUUCACAGUUUGGAGAUGUAGAGGACAAAAUGGAAAGUGGUGAAACAGUGAAACAGUUUGUGAGAAGUUAUUUUGAUUUCAAACAUGAUUUUCUAGGAGUAGUUGCAGUUGUUGUUGCAGCCUUUGCAGUGCUGUUUGGAGUGCUCUUCGCAGUAGGAAUUAAGAGGUUUAAUUUCCAGAAUCGAUAGGAAUUCAAUUUCAUUUUUGAGAUCAAGUCUGCUUAAUGAAAAAGUAAUGCCACCAAACAUUCUAAGGCACGAAGGGGAAUAGGGGUGCAGGUGCCUUGGCUAGUCUUGGUUGGCAAUUUCCUCCCCAGUGUUAUAAAAGGGGGCUGUCAGGAUUUUGGAAGGUUUUUUAAAAAUUAUAUCGAUAGUUAUGGGAAUUUAUUAAAAUAAUAGCUUUUUCAUAUUAUGUUUGUACCCAGUAUUAAUUGGUGCCACUUAGAAACUGGUUUUGAAGAUUGCUUGGAGAAGCUAUCAGCAUAGUUUGCAAAGAAUGGAUAAAUUAUGAAGCAAAUAAAAUAAGAAAUCGACAACGCACUCACACAGCAAAAAAAAAUUUGUUUUUGUAUGUUUAUUAGUAUUUAUUCUUUGAUCUUUAUAGCCCAGUUUAUACAUUUGAUCUGUAAUAGCUGUCGCUGCACUUGAUCGGUGGUCAAUAUUCACUGCUGAAUAAGACAAUGAAGAUAAGAUCUUUAUGAAUCUCUGCUGAUUUAGCUCACAAUUUCGAGUUAACAGCUUUCCCACCAAGCCACGCCUCGUUGAGGCAUUUCGUCAAACACUCUGCAGUUUUCAGCAAAAAUCUUUAUUUUUAACCACGAAAGAGGUAAAAGUGCUCAUACUCAAUUUAGUCAUGGUGAAGGAUCGGUGCCCCCUUAGCAUUACACAAGUUCUUAUAUCAGUUUUAAAUCAUUAUAUUAAAGAUGAAUAAAUGAUUAAGAUUGAAAACUUCGAGAAAACAAAUUUUCAUGAGGGUUUUCGCGAUGAGAAAUUUUAAAAUACAUUAAAGGUACUAUGUCAUUUUAUAACAAGCAAAUGAUGCUAUAACAUGUAUUAUUUAUUUUAAAAAACCACAUACAAUUGAUGGUUGUAUUUAAUUUAUUUACACAUAUCAUACAUACAUUAAUUGAUUAUAUUACCUCUAAUAUAUUCUAAAAUUCCACGUUGGCUCAAAAAUACUAAAGGGAACCCUUGGUUUGUUGAUAGGCAUCGCUGACUUAGCUGUAAUCAGAAAACAGCUAAAGAAAAACAAGAAACAGCAUAAGAUGACCACCCAACAGUUCUCUCAACUACAUGAUAGUGCCUCCAGGUCAGUCAACAUGAUUGUGAUGACUGGAGCAGCAGACGAAGAUGAGAAUAUAUUAGAGGUAAUAUAAUAUAUUACCUCUGAUGAUAGCUCAAGCAUCUCUUCUCCGUAGAAGAGAUGCUUGAGCUAUCAUCAGUUUCUGUUUCCUCGUCCCACCCAGUAGCCUUCUGGGGCCAUGGGUAUUGAGGAGGAGGAGCAUAGCUUCUCCAAAAUGCUUUCUGGCUAUUCCCAAAUGCAUUUUCCUCCCAGAUGUGCCAUGGUUUUGUAGAAAUCCUCUCUGCAAAAAUUCUGUAAUGAGGAACCAAACAAAUUUGGUUGCCAACAUACAGACAAAAUGUGCUCUUGACAAUGGGAUUAGCAUAAGGAUGGAUUAUAUAAUAACACUUCAAUGUUAAAACACCGGGACUGUUUACUCAGCUGUUGAGUGUUAAAGUCAUUUUUCUACUUAAUGAAUAUUGCCAUGAACUUUUAUAAAUUUAUAUAAUCAUAACCGCCUCUACCAUACCAUUCCAUUUAUGCUGUUAGAUAAAACAUAAAAAUAUACUUAAUCAGUUGAUACAUAAUCAAUAGCCAUUUAUAAUAAGCGACACUGCUCUGUCAAAAUUAACUAAAGCACAGUGCAGGAAUUUCUAUUACCGUUGAACUCACCAGAAGAGAGAAAAGCACUUGUUGGUUUUUGGUUGGUUUUGAAUGGACGGUAGUCAGGAUAUUUUCAUGGGCAGUACUAGCUUGUAUAGAAGCACUUCUAUAUGGGGAACAAAUUCUCGAGGUGGUUUUCCGAGGUCUUCAAGAAUAAGAGAAGGAGAUGACGAGGUGGAAGCUCUAAAACGGGCUGCUCUUGAGAAAUUGCCUACUUAUAAUCUUUUGAGGAAAGGGAUAUUAACUACUUCACGAAGGGAAGCUGUGGAAGUUUGAUGUUCAAAUCUUGGACCGCAAGAAAGGCAAAAGUUGAUCUUUAAAUUGGUGAAAGAUACUGAUAUUGAUAAUGAGAAGUUCUUGUUGAAGCUCAAGGACCGCGUUGAUAGGUAAUUUUUUUUUUCCCCCAUUUUUCAGCAGCUCCAAGCGCCUUGGCUAGUCAAGAAUGUGAUUCAGGAAGGGCAAGGUCAAACAACAAUAUAAUACAAUUUUUUUUAACAAAAAUAAUAAGUAGCAGAAUUUGAACUUUAUUGCAAAAGAAGAGAAUAAGUUGCAAAGAAAUCUUAAUUUUUGUACGGAAUGAAGGAAAUAUGAAAGUAAGCGUAUAUAACUCGUGGUGGGUAGAAGUGAACCGGAUUUAAAAAAAAAAGAAAGUAGUCAAUUUGAUUCAAUUUUUUCAGUUUCAGUCCGGUUAUUUUCAAAAAUUGAUUUUUUUUAAGUGUUAUAAUCGACUACUAAAUAUUGGUUUGGUUAUUGAUUCAAAAUUUUAGAAUUGAAAACGGAACCAAAAGUUGAACUUUUUGGUAAUUUUAUGAAAUUAAACAUUUGUCAUAUUAUUAUUAGUGCACAUAUUAAUAAUAAUUCGUCCCAAGUCACAUUGAUCUCUGCAUAAUCUUUUGUAUCACAUCGUUAAUUAAAUCGAUAUCUUAAUUGUCUAAUCAAUUUAAUUACAUCUUAUUUCUUGAUACUUCCUGGUUUUUCCUAAUGAUCAUUUUCAAUAUACUAAAUAUGUUGACACACUCUGGCCAGAGAAUUUUAUUAUCAAGUACCAAAAACUCAUCAAGAGAUGUGUUGUACAAAUUUUAUAUUGUUAAUCUAUAACUUCAAUACUCAUAAUUGCUCCCACCAAGAUACCGGGUAAUCAUGACUUCAAAAGUGUGUGUCGUGCCCAUUGAUAACUCAAAUGGAAUAACAAUUACAAUCACGAAAUUAUAACUAACUCAAUUUUAAGAUUACAGUAAAAUCAAUGUCUAUGAGAUUUAAUAAGUCUGACAAUUAUUAUAAAGUUAAUUAAAUCUCAUAUGUGAUCUAGUUCAAUGUAGUCGUACUACAUCAAUAAAUUCAUACAUGAUUAAGACAAAUCAUUCAAUGAAUUUAUUACGGUCUAUACCUAAAUAAAGUGCCCAACUUUAUUUAUCAACACCGAACUUAAUUUAUUUAAUCAUAAGAUAACUUGUAUUUAUAUCUUCUGUGAAUCCACUUGGUGAUCACAUAAAUACAUAUAAUAUGAUUAAAUGGACUUUACUCAAAAUAUUAAUGCAACCAAGAUACUUGAAUAAAAUACCUCAUUUAUUUUAUUAAUUAGAAAAAUUAUUUAUUACAAUUAAAUAAACAUAUGCUUUUAAAGAUCAUAUUUUCCCAACAACCUCAGGGCUAGAUGCAAGGGCUGCUUCAAUUGUUAUUAGAACUGUUAGAAACACAGUGGACACUGGAAGGACAGUAGUGUGCACCAUCCAUCAACCGAGCAUUGAGAUAUUUGAAGCUUUUGAUGAGGUGGGCAAUGUUAUUCUAGGUCAAAGAAGCAUUAAGUUCCUUUUUUUCCCCUCUCUAUUGAUUACGAUUGUUCAAAAAUGCAUUGCAGCUAUUCCUAAUGAACAAGGGAGACAAGAAAUUUAUGUUGGGUUGUUCGGUCGCCAUUCUUGCCAUCUUACCAGGUACUUUAAAGUACGACUGAUGCACAUUUUAAUUAUUACAAUGGAAAUUAAUCUAUCUUGAAAUAUCAUUUUGAAGUGACUUGUGUAAUUCAAAUCAUGAAACCAGCUGACUCGUGUUUAUUUGUUUUCUUAAGGCAAUUCCUGGAGUCGAGAAAAUCAAAGAUGGUUACAAUCCGCCAACUUGGAUGUUGGAAGUUACUGCUUCAUCCUUUGGGGGCUGAUUUUUCUGAUAUUUACAAACGCUCAGAUUUGUACAGGUGACAUGGCCUAUAGACCAAAAAUCCAUUCAUCACACAGCGAACGCAUUCGUUAAGCUCAAAAUAAAUGCUGAUGUCUGCGCUGUAUAUCAGGAGAAACAAAAUGCUCAUUGAACAUUUAAGCAAGCAAUCAAAGGACCUCUAUUUUCUUACUCAAUACUCUUGUUAUAAUUUUGAAAUGGCUAAUAACAAGAACUAACUUGUUUCGUCAACCUUUAAUCAAUCAAGAUCAAAUUGAAACUGAGAUUGAUAAAGAUCAAAGCAAAGAACAGAAAAUAGAAUUGAGUUUAAGGGAACGAGCUAACAAAUUUGAAGGAAAAAUUCGUACUCUUUUAUUCAUCAAAACUGAAUACAAACAGAUUACAGAUGAAUAAGAGAUUACAAGAAUCACACAUAAAGAAGAAGUACUCGAAUUAGUUAAGAAAUGAGAGAGAGAGCUCUUAUAUCAGAUGUUACAAGCCAGCAUCGCGUUUCUGGAAAACCGAGCCACGUUAGCAGACAAUUACGUCAGCACCCCUUAACUGAUUACAAUCUACACAAUAACCCACAUAACUCUUACUUAAUAUCACUAUGGUCCCUAAAACAGUUAAUUACAUCUUCACAACUCUCAGUCAGAUUUCACCCAAUUUAUGGCUUGCUUAUGGAAACAAUGGUGGUCACACUGGCAAAAUCCAGCAUACACUGCUGUUAAAUUCUUUUUUACAACCUUUACAGCAGUGUUGCUUGGGUCAUUGUCUUGGGACUUGGGCGGUAGACAUGAGUUACAACUAGGAGCCUGGAACAAUACAUAUUUAAAUGUUAAUUCAAAGUCUCGUUCUUUCAUCCGCCUUUCAAUCUUAAUCCCGACUUUUCAAUUUAUAGCCAAAAGAGCCAAGAUCUGUUUAAUGCGAUGGGUUCGAUGUUCACUGCAAUUAUUUCCUCGGCGUUCAAUACUGUUCGUCGGUGCAGCCAAUAGUAUGAGUUGGAAGGGCAGUCUUUUACAGAGAGCAAGCCGCUGGCAUGUAUUCCGGCAUUCCAUAGGCAGUAGCACAAGUAGUUGUUGGACUCAUUAUGCAUCACAUACUUAGUAGAGGUUCCUUUGCCAUCAUUAAGCACAGACUUCAUCUUCAAAAUGAAAUUAAAUGUCUAUUGCUUCUGGAAAUCAAGCAGCUUAAUUCCUAAAGCAAACAGAAAUCCAGUGCGCUGCAAAGCAUGCAAGAACAACGGCAAAUACUCCCAGAAAAUCAUGUUUGAAAUCAAAAUAAUUUCUGAUAAACUGUUUCACAGUUUCACCAUUUUUCAUUUUUUCCUCCGCAUCCCCAACCGCGGAGCAAUCAAUCCAUACAAUGUCCAAGCUAUAGGGUUUGCCCAAUAGUACCAUCUCCACCGUAUAGGAAUCCUCUGUGGUUUGACAAGUUGAAAGAUGAAGAAACAAUUAGUAACAAAUUUUUAUUCGCAAGCUGGUAAAUCUAUCAUAUCAAAUAGAAAUGGCAGGAUAGUACUUGCGGGUCCUGGGAUCAUAAACCCAGGAAUUAGGUUCCACAUUCAAUAAAAAUAAAGUUGAAACAAUGGCAGUGAUGUGGUGGUUUGGUGUAAUAUCCACAGAAUAUAUACCAAAAGAACUUCGCGGCUGUCCGGUCAAAUCCCAUCAUAGCAUAGACUAUAACACUAUAAACUAGUGACUGAACAAAUAUAUACGGAACCUCAAAGCUUUGGUUAACCCCUCUGGACUGUCUCCUCCACAAUGUAUCCAAUGAUAUGGUUCUUAUGAGUAUUUUGUUUACAUUGGUUUACACAGAUGCUAAAACAUUUUUCUUUCUGCUUUUGUUCUGGUUUUGCUUGCUAUACAAGACAUCCCGGAUGUGUAUCCUUAUUUUUUUUAAUUAAAUAAAUAAAUUUUCCUCCAGAAUAUAGUAUAAUCUGUGUUAUGAAAGUUGCAUAUGAAGUUCUAUUUAAGAUGCUACAGAUGCUGGAAUUCAUAUAUUACUAAUUUAUGAUACCAGAAGAUAGAACAUGUCUAAUUUGAGGGCAAAAACUAUGUUGCCCAUCGGGCGAGUAACCCCUUCUUUUGUGCUUUUGUGGUUUAAUUACAAUGCAGUCCCUACUGGUUUUAAAACAAAAAAAUAGAGGUUUUUAAAUUAUGACAAAUUAGUCCUAUUUGUUUUAAUUUUUCCUUUACAUAGCCAUUAAGAAAAUUUUCAAACUUUUACUUUAUAAACCUCUCAUUACUCUCAUACCAACCUUAGUCGAAUUAAUUCUCUCUCCAUCCAUAUGCUUUAUUUUUUUAUCUUCUUCUUCAUCAAUCCUCCUCCACAUCAACUAUAUAUAUAAAUUCUUAAGUGUGUAUCUUUAAAUAUGGAUUUUAUGUGGAUCCACUAUUAUGCCAUAUGGUAUAAAAAUGAAUCUACAUGAAAUUCAUAUUUAGACAUCUGCAUCCUAGAAGCUCUCAUUUAGGCAUUUAAUAGUCUCUUCUUCAUAUAUUCUAAUCUUUAAAAAAGAAAAAAAAUUAAGAUAAUUACAGCUCUUAAUUUACUUUAAAUCUAGUUUUUCCUCUUUCCCAACCACCCCCUCGCCCACCCCAACCCCCCCAAUAUUUCUAUGUAGCUCUUUAAAUAAAUAUAUAUAUAUAUAUAUACAAAAAUAUUCCAAUCCGGAAUUUUAAAGUGCGGAAACGUCUGGGAAAACGCAUAAACCGUGCGGUUUAAGCGCUUUAAGUUUUAAGCCUUUAAAACCCCGCGGUUUUAAAGUUUUCCUGGACGUUUCCCGCACUUUAUGAUCCCGGACCAGAAAACUACUAUAUAUAUAUGUACAAUGUAGAUCUUCAGUCCUUAUGAGUUAGGCCUUUGUUUGAAAAAUGAAACUUGCCAAAGUAGCGUUCUUGGAUGGUUUUCUAGUUGCUUGGAUAGAAGUAGGGAUGACAAAAUCCUCCAUAGGUUUGGGGCCCCAUGGGGCUCCACCCCAAAUGGAGUGGAUUUUGAAUAAUUUUUGGGGAUUGGGAUGGGAAAUAAGGAAAAAAUAAUUCACAAAUUCUUAAUAGGGUGGGGUUUGAUUUUCUACUCCCCACCCCACCCCCACCCCAAUCCCCAUUAUAUAUAAAUAUUUUUCUAAUUUUUAUUUAAUAAUUUUUGUUUCAUCAGUUACAAUGUUAAUUAAUAAUUUUUUUUUACUUGAUAUAAAUGAGCUAUAACUAAAAGAAAACCCUACAAAAUAAUUUUUAUUUAACCUAAAACAUUGUUAUGUUUUCUUUUUUCCCUUAAGACACUGCUCUCUUCAAAUAUUUUUCAAUUUUGAUAUCAUUUCAAGAUAUUAUUUCAAACAUUUGGAGAUGUUUUUAAAAUAAUUUAAAUAUUUUAUAAUAUGGUAAUGAUUUUUUAAGUCUUUAUUUUUUAAUUUAUUGAAAUCAUGUAUUUAUAUCUACUAUAAAAUAAAUAAUUAAGGAAUUGGGUUGGAUGGGGAAAUUAUUCCCCACUUGGGGAUUCCCUAUCCCCACCCCAUUAAAUUUAUUGGGGAAUGGGGUGGGAAUGGAAGCGAAAUUUUUAAUGGGGUGGGGAAUGGAGUAGGCUUCCCCACCCCCACCCCACCCCUUUGCUAUCCCUAGAUAGAAGUAAUUAUUCGGAAUUUUUUUUAAAAAAAACACAAGAUUUUAGUUAAAAAUUCAAAUAGAUGUAAUUCCAAAUAAUGGCAAAAGUGAUCUUUUUAUAAAGAUUUCUUUAACAUAUUCUAAUAGUGAUAAGGGACAAGAUUUUUUUAUGUUACAAAAAUCAUUUAAAAAUUUUUUUUUUCUUGUAAAACAUGCUAUAUAUAACUUUAACUUUAAGAGAUCUUCUUGUACUUAGAGAUGACUAAAAAACCAGGGCCGAUCGGCCUGGGUGUUUCAGAUUGGACUUGACCUGAUCCAAACAUGUUUUCUAGACACUAGGCCUAGGCUCAAGCUUCACCUAAAAAGCUAGAGCCCAGAUCGAAAUACCAAGAAAUAUUUAAAAAAUUAUAUAUUAUUUUAAUUAAAAUACAUCUUUUAACAUAUAUUUAGCCCACUCAUAACAUAUAUUUAAAGUUUAAAAUCCUUUAAGUUAAAGCUUAAUCUAACAAAAAAAUAAAAUUUUAUAAAGUAAAAAUUUGUAGAACAUAAUAGAAUAUUUAUUUAUUUUUUUAAAAAUGUACAAUGUAAAAUUAGAGCUUUUUAUAUUAGCCCGAAAAGCCCGAUCCUAUAAAAGACAUCCUAGGCCGGGCUCAAACUUUGUCAACCUUGGCUUGAGCCGGACAUUCUUUAACUAGCCAAAAUUAACACCCUGGAAGGUAUUAGAAAUUUAUUUUCUGUAACUAGCCAAAAUUGACACCAUGUAAAUUUAGUUUGGAAGAAGCAUUCAAGAAUAUUUUUAUCUUCAUAUUUAUUUGUACUUGUCAUGAAAAAUUGAUCAUAUAAUUGUUAAAAAGGAAUCUGUGUGACUACUUGUGAAACUAAAGGAGUUUAUGUGACUAUUUAAAUUAAUCUUAAGAGUAUGUGUGGCUUUUUCCCAAAAUUAAUUGUAAACUAAUUUAUUAGAUGAGAUUGAUUGAAUUAAUAAUGACUAUUAGAUGAACAUUUUAUUUGUUUUGAAAAUAAUAGUUAUAAUAUCAUAUUUUUAGCACAUUCAGAGGAGCACAGAUCACAGAUAGCUUUAUUUCAACCUGGAAACCGCAAAUAUUUACUUGUCGAGAUUACAAUGAAUCAGCAGAGAACUCUCACAAUGGCAAAGUAAAUCCUGUUGGAAAUCACAGCUAUCUCCCUCUGGUCAUCAGCUUUUACCAUGCUAAAACAGCGCUUUGCUGAGUCUUAAACUCAUCCGUAGAUGAUAUGGAUGAUUCUUGUUCAUUGCUGAAUCACCUUCACAGGUCACCAUCAUGCGCUGAGACAGUACUUGCAGUACAAGAGAGAGAGAUGGAAAGGUCUGAUUGGAAGAUUACUCAGUGAGACAGUAGGUCGAACUCCUAAUUCAUUUCAUCGAACACCUAGUUCGUUUCGUUGAACACCUUGCUCAGACUAACAAUUAAGCACCUCAAUUAUAUAAAAUCCGUACGAGUAAAAUAAUAGAACACAACAAACCUCAUCAUAUUACGGAGGCUCCUCUUAUCCAUGAGUCUUCCACCGGCAACACCGAUCAAUCAUCUUUGCCAUCACCAAUCAAAAGAAAUACAAAUCAGUAUAACACAGUUUUCAGCAAGUGUGAAUUUUUACUUUAAAUAGAAUUAGAUAGAAAAUAAACACAUGAUAAGGAAGACAGAAAUUAAUUUGAGCUUUUGGACGCACAGAGGGAAAACAGAAUGUGAGGAAACAAUGGCUCUAUUGUUGAUGGGUGUUGAUUUGGUCUCUGCAAAUUCGCUUGGGACUCGGUUCCAUUUCAUCUUCAUCAUCAUAAGAUCCACUCAUGCCGACCUUAUCAUGCAAUAUCCUAAUUUUGGUGCAUUCUUCUUCACUGCCAAGAAUUAAUUUCAGAGUGUUGGGUUUGUUGUCGUUCGGAUUUGCAUACACUGGACACACCCCACAACAUUUCACCUGAUGACAUUUUUCGUUUUUACACUCAACGGAGAACUCAAAUGAGAUAGUUGUUUGAUUAUUGCCAUCAUCAGGUACCUCAGUAUUCCAGCAGGGCUCAAAUCCGAGUAACACAUGAUCCGAAUCCAUAGACCCAUUAAGACUCAAAUUGUAAUAGUCAUCAACAUUAUUGUUCGCUGCCAAGCGAGUCUUGGUUUCAAAAUUGUAGUUGCAUUUGACAUUGCAAUAUUUGCCACUAGCAUCAAUAUCUUCCUCAAAUUGAAUAACAGCACAAAGAGCAAACCCGACUAAGUUUCUGCUGCAAGAACGCCGCGGCAGUUGAAUUGUUAAUGAAGAUCCUGAACAUUGAUUGCUGAACCAGUCAGGAAUUUCACUCCCAGGAAAACAAUUGCAGAGUCCGUAGGGUGUAUAAUGUACCUGUAACACGAAAAUCAUGAUUUCCAAUCUAGUGAAGAGAAUCAGGGCAGAAAGAAAGAAAGUUGCUUAAUUACCAUUUCAUAGCACAGUCUCAGUGAUGCACUUGCCAUAUGCUGAAUUCUUUGUUGUGAAUCUGCUAAAAUCUUCUUGUGUGCCUCUUUUUCAUUCAGCUUCAGGCAAUUAGUAAAAUCAAAAAAUAGUAUGCCGUCCAUAAUUCCACUAGAGUGUUCGUAAAUUGAUUCCAGCAUGGAUGCAUCUAGUUCUUCUACAGAUGAUGGAAUCUCUGGCAAAGUUUGGAGUCGCUUGCAAUUUUUUGCUUCUAAAUAGACUAGAUAUAUUGGAAGCUCUGGUAAAGACUGAAGCAUGUUGCAAUUGCUCAAGUGAAGAUAUCUCAGCUGUGAAAGUUGCUUGACACUUGUUGGCAACCUCUCGAAGUGAUUUCCACUUAGAGCUAACCAUACAAUUGAGGACAAAGAGCCAAUGUCCGCAGGAAUUUCUGUUAUAUUACAGUCGGUUAAAUGCAACUCUGUUAAAGAAGAUAAACCAGAUAGUAAUGGUGGCAAUACCAAACCUCUGCAUCCAGAAAACUUGAGUUUUUUAAGUUGGUUUAAAUCUGAGAUAGAGGAUGGUAGCUGACCUAUGGCCGAAAACUCUGCAUUGAGGUACUUCAAAGAUUUUAAAUUUUCUAGCUUUUCUGGCAAACUAGCUAGUUCAGAGCAAUCCCCCAGGUCUAACUUUCUGAGCCCUUCUAAAUAUUCAAUUGAAGAUGGUAGAUUUCUAAUUGCCGUCUCUCUCAAAUCAAUUUCUAGCAAAUGCUCCAUUUUCUCCAAAAUUUCUGGGAAAGUCUCAAGGUUUGAGCAGCCACCAAGUUCAAGCCAACAAAGAGAUUUCAAUUUACAAAUGCUAGUCGAAACUCUCUUUAGCCUCUUGCAAAAACUCAGGUCUAAGGUUUCAAGAUUUGUUAGGCACUCGAUAGACGAGGGAACUUCUUCUAUUCGGGUGUUCCAUAGUCUUAGCUCUAUUAUAUUCCCCGAAACCAGUGGAAAUUCUGUGAGGUUAACACAGUCUGAGAAAUCCACAGCUAUAGGAGAUCUAAAAUAUAUGUUGCGUGGAAAGGAAACAAGGCUCCGACAGCCCGCCAAACUCAGCACACUGAGAUUGUUGAAAUUUUGUAUUGAUGAGGAAAUGUAAGGCAAGUUUGUACAAUUCAAAAGAUUUAUUCUCUCAAGAUUUGGGGUUUCUACUAAGUCUGGAAUCUUAGUAAGAUAUUGGGAAUGGUGGAGGUCAAUAAAUUUUAACUUGAAAGCUUGCUGUAAAAGAAGAUCAAUAAUUAGUGUCAAUAGCUUGUUAUAUACACACACAUAUAUAUACUCACAAAAAGAAAAAUUAAUUUUACAUUUUACCUUUUUUCCCUCCCAGAUUUGCUCAACAUUACUGUAAGGUAAGUUGAGUUCAAUAAGAUUCUCUGGAUCAAAAUUUAAAGGAAGCGUUUUCAAAGAAUACUGGUGCCAAUGAAGAUAUCUCAAUUCCUCUGGAAGAUAUCUAAGACCUUGGUCUAGAUGUACUUUAGAGCUCAUAAUUGGAACACCUUUAUAUUCAGGCAUGUAGAAUUUCAGGAAUCUUAGAUUUGACAUAUUUACAAAGACAUUACCAUCCAAAUGUAUGUCUCUUGUUUUAGACAAAUUCAGUAAUAUACCUUCGAUUGCAUCUGUCCCCUUAUGAACAAAAGCAAAGAAUGAAUAAUUAGACUAAAUUCACAAAAUAUAAAUCUAUUUUAAAAUUAAAUAGAACUCCUUUAAGCGAAAGCAUGAAUAUAGUUAGGAAAAGUGUGAGUGCAUGCAUGUAGCCCCAUUUAAGAUCAAAUAUUAAAUAGGUGGAAUUUUACCUUAUUUUUCUUCAAUACAUGAUAAACAUCCUCAUAAUGCCACAACCUGCUACGUUUGCCUGGUUCUUUGACUGAUUCUUGACGAACAAUUUCUCGUCCCAUUUUUUGCAAUAAAUCAUGCAUUUGCACCUUGUUGUUACAUGAUAUUGUCACAAGCGACUUAUCAACAAGGACACUCAAGCAAUAGUGAGCAAAAUUAGGAUCAUCUUGUAUCUUUGUUACAUAAUCUUUAUCCUCUCCUUUAAGAAAACAUGCAAUGUCCAGAAACAUACUUUUUUCUUCUGCCUUCAGUUCAUUAUAAGUGACCUUUAGCACAUCAUAGAUAUCAGGGUCGGAAAUUCGUAUUAAGUUCUCCAAUGCAAUUUUCCAAUCAACUUUUGUCUUUCGAUGAAGGAAAGAACCCAACACUCUAAGCGCUAAUGGAUUGCCAUUUGCAUAAUCCAGUACACGCUUUGAGAGCACUAAGAGAUCUUCAGGGCAAUGGUUUCCUUUAAAGGCAUGGUUACAAAAGAGCUCAAGAGCUUCAGGAUAUUCCAAUCCCUUCACCUCAUAUACGUCACUCACUCCGAAAUUGUACAAAACUUGUUUAUCUCUAGUGGUUACAAUAAUUCUACUUCCCAGACCAAAUCGAUCAAGCCCUCCAGUUAAAUAACUCAGUUGCCCACAUUUAUUCACAUCAUCGAGAACUAUGAAAACAGUCAUCUGCUGUAGCCUUUUCUUAAUAAUUUCAGGAAUAAUGGGGGUUCUUAUUUUGAGAUCUUCUCCUAAUACUUCAGAAAUAACUCGUUCUCGCAAAUCUGCCAAUCCACCUCCUUUCUCUGAUUCUUCCCUUACACUUGCCAUGAAGCACUUGCCUUCAAACUCCCUAGAAAUCUGAUUGAAAAGAGCUCCAGCAAUUGUUGUUUUUCCUAUACCACCCAUGCCCCACAAUCCUACAAUGCGAAAAUCUGGCGAUCCGGCACUCAAUAAUGAUUUAAUUUGUUCAAUUCGAGAAUUUAAACCAACUAGGCCUUCAAGGUCAGUUGAAACUGUUAUAUUUUCCAAUUUCUUCAAAAUGUCUUUGACAAUUUCCUCUACAAGUUUAGCCUCAGGCCUUGCAAUUAUGAAAGAGGAACAACGGUUAUCAGAUAUAGAAUGGAUAGAAUCAGAAAAAAUAAAAUAAAUAUUUUAUAUUUAAUCAUAGAAGACAGAUAAGAUGAGUGAAUUAAAGGUAGCGUUUACAUUUUGGAUUGGAGUGGGAAUCCUGAGAAGUGGGAAUUGUAGGAUUAGGAGUGAGGAGUGGGAGUGAGAGUAGGUUGUUUACUUACACUGGAAUAGGAGUAUGGAAUUGAAACUAAAAUUCAAUUUAUGUGUUUACAUUGUCUUGGAUUAGGAGUAAAUGAUUUUAAAUUAUAAUUUUACCCUUAUUUAAAGAAUUAUAAUUUUUAAUUACAAAAUUAAUAAAAAAAUAUUUGAAAAAUAAAAUAUUUAUUUUAUUAUAUUUGUAAAUUAAUAAUAAUUAUUAAUAUUCUUAAUUAUGUAAAUCAUAAUUUUUUAUUAAUUUUAAUUUGAAUUAAGUAAAUAAAAAAUUACUAAUAAUAGCAACACAAAUGAAACAUUAUUAUUGAUAAUAUAGUACAAAAUUAAUAUUUUCUUAUAAUAAAAUAUUUAUUGUUAUUAAUUAAAUAAAUAUAAUACUAUUAUUUUUAAAUAAAUAUAAUAAUAUUAAAUUUUCAAAUAAUGUUAGAAUAUAGUAAUAUUAUUAAUUCUCUAGGAGUAUAAUAAUAUUAUUUUUAAGUAAUUUCAACUUAGAAUCAAUGUAAAUUAUUAUUUUUAAUUAAAUAUAAUAAUAUUAUAUUUAAAUAUGUUUAAUAUUAUUAUUUUUAAUAAAUUUAAUUUAUAAAAUAAUAAAUAUUAUUAUUUAAAUAAAUAUAAUAUUGUUUAUUUUAUUAAAUUUAAUAAAAUAAAUAUUAUUAUUAUUAUUUUUAAUAGAUUUAAUUUAUAAAAUAAUAUAAUAAUAUUAUUAAAAUAAAUACGAUAUUAUUUAUUUUAUUUUAAAUAUAAGUCUAAAAAUGGAAGAGGGGGAGUGGAUUCCCACUCCCAACUCUCCCCAUGGGAGUGGGACUGGGAAUCCCACUCCCCACUCCAAAAUUUGGUGGGGCCCACGGAAUGGGAUUCCCACUCUUCCUUAAAAAUUAUAAGUAAACACUAAAGUAGGAGAAAUUUACACUCCUCACUCCCACUCCAGAAAAUCACAGGGUAUGUUUGGAUUGCUUUAGUUUCCCCAUGAAUAAAUCUUUAAUAAUUUGAUAAGUGUUUGAUAUCUUAAAGAUUUAAGAAUAUAAGACGAUCACUUUUCAAAUAAUUUAUUAUACAAAUUCACCUAAAUACCCUAUAUACCAUUUAAUUCAUCUUGUAUAGAUCCAUUAAUAAAUGUUCAGAUUUGGUUCAUAUUAAUAUUUUAAACCAAACAACUACAGUGCGCUUAGUCAUUUAUUCUCAAACAAAAAUUAAAUAAGCAAACAUGUGUUUGAAAAAAAUAACCCUUACAAAUAGAGUUUGUUUAUAACUUUUUGGGCAAACAAUAUUUGAACUCCUAACAGUUCUACAAAUCAAAAUAUUUGGUUAUAAUAAUCUAUAACAUUCUGUCAUUUCGUUCAGUCGUUAUUCGUAUAAAUUAAUAGAGAUUGUCUAAAUUGUUUUGGCCGAAUAAAAUUUUGAACUCUUAAGAAAAUCUAAAGAGUCACCUGGUAUUCAUGGAAUACCAUCCGGAUACAUUGGAUGCUUCGGUCAAAACAGCCCUCCAAAUUUGAACCUUUUCUGGCAUGUUUUUGAACUGUUCUUCAUGCUCAACGAAGGCAUCCGCAAAACAUCCAGUUUGAUUUCUCACGUCCGAUGGAUCAACUUGGUAGAAAACUGGAACAACCGUUUGGCCAUUCAUGUUCUUGCAUUCAAGAAUCUCGACAAGUUCAUCCAGGCACCAUUUGGAAGAUGCAUAGCGUUUUGAGAAGAUGAUUACCGAAAUCUUUGAUCCUUUCAUUGCGUUCAAAACAGCUUGCGAAAUCUCAUCUCCUCUGCUAAGUUCUUCAUCAAUGAAGGUUUUUAUAUUCUUUCGGCAGAAAGCUGCAUGGAGAUGACUAGUAAAGUUGUCACGAGUAUCCUCCCCCCUAAAACUGAGGAAGACAUCGUAUUUGCUUUGAGCAGAAUGGCUGCGAGAAGAUGAAGCCAUGUAGAAACUUUUAUGAAUUCUUCUAGACGGAAAUAGAGAUUGUUGAGUGUAGAUUUAAGAAUAAUAUUUGUGUAAGUGAAUGGAGUGAGUGUUUGGAGCUUUUGUAAAUUUCUUUAGACUUUCAUAUUGCUAGCUAGCUUCUUUUUUUUUUUUUUUUUAAAUCACCACUAAUUCUAUCCUUUUCACUUUGAGUAACUGAAGUUGGUUGAAAUUAAUUAAUCGUCAACUACCGAAAGUGUGGGGUUGACAAACACACCACUAGCAGUCUUUAUUGGUGGAAAUUUUGAUUUUCGAUAAGGCUAUCUGAGCCCAACAAAUUGUACUCUACAUCAAUUUCUCUUUCCACCGAUUCCAGAGAUUUAAAAACCAUUUAAAUAAUUGGUGCUAAUAUAUGUUUCAGGAAUGACAAAUCUGAGCCCUUGGAAGGUGCGUGAAAGGGUCCAAACGAUAUAGGUACGGCCGUGAAUUUAGGUGACAGUAAAUAUUUAAUAAAGGUACGGUUGGUUAUUUUGCUAUAGUGCGAAAUCACAAUUGGUUGGUCACCAUGUCUAGUGUUGAUAUCGGUAUUUAUUCUGAUGAUGUUGAUAUUACUAAGGUGGAAGCUUCACACUUUUGUUUAUGGAUUGCAAGGAAGAUUGGUUUAUCUCUUAUGAUUGUGGAGCCAGACUAGUUGCAUGUUACUCAGUUGAAUUUGAAUAAGGCAGCACUCGUAAUGAGUUUUUUUUUUGGGUCCGUACAAAGAAUCAACAACUAUUUUUACCAAAGCAAGAUUCAGGACUUUUCGUAUCUCCAGGAUCUAAAAGCAAGCACUAACGUAUUAGAUGAGUAAUGCUCUUUGUUGUUCUUGUCAUUUUGUGUCAAUGGAGGAUUUUUGACAAAGCAGGUAACAGAAGCAGAAUGAUAGACUAGACAAACAGUAAAUAUCAUUUAGUAUCGAACCAAGCAAAUGCGAUUAGGUUAUCCUUUAAUCGAAGCGUGAUUAGAUCUUAUUCUAAAUUUCUAAUUCAAAUGAUUUAAUGAGACUUUGAUAAUACUUUAAGUAAGAUUAAACGAUACACUAUAAUUUGAAUAACUUCACAAAAGAGAUUUUGAUAGAUCAUCCCAAAGAAAAUUAUAAAAGAGGAGUUUUAAUUGAACAACUAAACUUUUACUAACAAUGACAAGAACUCCCAUUUUUUAUAGGGUAAACUUACUUCUCCAAAUUAAGUUAGAAGAAAAAUUAAAUCACAAUUAUCCUAAAAACAAAAAACUAAAACACGUCAUAAUUCACUUGAAUUAAAAAUAACAAAUGUAAAAAAAAUAACAAAUGUCUAAAAUCCUAAAAUAAUCUCCUACAUCAAUUUUCCAUAGCAUUUUAAUUGUAAUUUUUGACUUUAUAUCCUAUUCCUAUUUCUUUAAAUAAUAAGAAUAAUAAUAAUAAUAACAACAACAACAACAUAGAAGCAUAGGAAUCUAAUUUCAAUAGAAAAAAAUUAUAGCAAGUUGUUAUGAAAUUGAUCAACAAGUGACUAGUUACUCAAACUGCACUCUACAAGCAAAACCAAAACUUCAAAUCUACAACAUAAAUUUGUGUGUAUUAUAUAAAGAGCAAAUGCUACUACCUUGUAUGCUUUCGACUAAAUGCAAAUCUCACCUUUCCUUACUGAUCAAAACCAAAUUUCCAUUGUCUUUUUGGACACGGAAUGUGUAUGCACUUCUUUCUAAUUAAGUUUAUUAUUUUAUCUUUCCCAUUUGACCCAAAGUUUUAAAAGUCAUUAGACUCAUUUUAAUUGUCACUGACAAAUUUGACAUGACUCUAGUAGUCAGCACGAAUAAAUAAGUGUGGAUUGUUAAAUUUGACACAUUUAUUAAAUAAGUCAUGUUUGGACUAGUUUAAACUUGUCAUGACACGAAAUCAAGACAACACGAACACGAGUCGAUGACCCGUGUUGAUAGCUUUUAUUAUAAUACUCAAAUUUAUCAUUAGCUUAAUUUGUAUUAAGUUUACAAAAAUAAAGGGAGGUUAAUUAAAAAUUGGGACUUAUUUGAAGCUAAUGAGGAAAUAAGAGAAGCUUAAUUUGUUUUAGAGAGAUAGAGAGCGCAUCAAGGAGAGAGGCUAAGAGAGAGCUGUUGAAACCCGACAAGAACCAGAACUCGACCCAAAACCCGACCCGCCCCUCAUUUUCGUUUCCAGCCACCUCACUAGCAACAGAAGGUACUAAUCGAAUCCUUAGCCAACGCAAGUCACCCAGCACCAUCCACUCUACCGGAAAAUGACUGAAAAGCAGCCAAUAGAAAUCGUGAAGAGCCGUACCAAUCGCCACCUUGAAUCACGCGAUUUUGCAAGAUUUAUUACCCGUCGUUGUUUGCAUUUUGUCCCUCAUGGCACCCUUUUAAAUUUUCGAUCACCCGCACCACCAGAAACCAUCGAUUUGGUUGCGACCAGUUGUUGAGGUGUUCACAGCUAUCUACGCUCGAUCUAGCGCCGCUACCGCACAUCGGAGCUCACCGCCGCCAUCAUUGUAGUCAGCUCAGUUUGAAGUAUCUAACCUGACCUUUAGGGGUGGGCAAAAAAACCGUAGUCUUAAAAAAACCGAACCGAACCGACGGUUUUUCUAAUUCGGUUCGGUUUUUAUUUUUUAAAAAAACCGAAUAUACCGUUUGUAAAAAAAAUCGAAAUGUCGGUUCGGUAUUCGGUUCACUUAGCUGAACCGAAAAACCGAAUUAUUUUUUGAUUUUAUUCAAAUCAAACAUGUGUUAAUUUUUAACUGAUUGUGUGUAAGAUAACUAACAUAAACUUGCAUACACACAAUCAAUAAUAUAUAUAUGUAAGUGUUACAAUUUCGUAAAUCUUUAUUUCCCCCAAAAUAAACCCUAAAGCUAAAAUCAAAGAUUCAAAAUCGAAACCAACUCCAAAUCACCCACCCCAAUCCACUGCAAUCACAGCCGACGCUGCUCAUCGGCGAUAGUGUCACCGUGCAACAUGCUGCUCACGCUGCUCAGUGCUCACGCUGCUCACGUUGCUCACCGCGAAAGCUGCCUGUUUCACUCACACUCUCACAGGCCUGAGGCCACCGCGCGACAGCUUUGCUCUGCUCGCCAGCCACCACGCGACAGCUUCUUCUCUACUCGCCAGCCACCGCGCGACAGCUUCUUCUCUGCUCCCCAGCCACCGCGCGACAGUUUCUGCUUUGCUCGACAGAUUCUGCUUUGCUCGACAGAUUUUGCUUUGCUCGCUAGCCAGUAGCCACCGUACUCCAGUAGGUAUGUCAAGCUUUGUUUCUUUAAUUUUCUACAAUUAGUUGGUGUGUGAGUGAGAACUGAGAACAUAAGAUAUAUAUGCAUGCUAUUUUCUUUAAUUUUCGAAGUGUUGGGCUGUUGGCUUAGUGGCUACCGAUUGAUUUUAUUUUUGACAUGGCUGUCAAAUGUAUGUUGAACAUAAGAUAUAUAUGCAUGAUAUUUUCUUUAAUUUUUUUUUAUCUAGCUGCUCUUGUGUUGUAUCAAGCAAAGGCAGCAGCCAAAUAAAAACAAAUUUCCAGCAACUUUUUUUUUUAAUUUCAUUUUCCUCCUGUUGUUUUAAUGUCUAUUACUGUGUAGAUAUAAAUUGCAUGAUUUACAAUAUAUAACUGCUGAUUAUGUUUAUAAUAUGGCUACUGAUUGUAUGUUGGACAGUGGCUAUAUUUACUUAUUUAGAUUUUAUUUUGACAUUAUAAUAGUUCUAAUUUUAUAGAAUGGUUGACAAUGUUGGUGAAGUGCAAAUUAGUGAUGAAGUGAAACAAGUUAGUAGUGAAGAAGUGGUCAGUGGUAGUAAAAAAAGAAAAAUUGAGUUGAGAUCAUUUAUGUGGAAGCAUUUUUCGAAGCUACCUGGAGGACUUAGAGCUAAGUGUCAUUAUUGCAGAAAAAGUUAUGCAGCCCAUAGUAAUUCUGGAACAAGUGGUUUGUCGACUCAUUUGGAUAGAUGUAAAGUGCGCAAAAAAAUGAAGGCUGAAAAUGAUGCAAAACAGCAGACAUUAGUUUGUAAAAAGGGUAAAGGACCUAAAGGUAAAGAUGAUGGUACUGCUAAGGUUAUACACAUAGGAUUUAAUAGAGAGGCUUGUAGAAUGGCACUUGUGAAAAUGAUAAUUAAAGAUGAGUUACCUUUUAGAUUUGUAGAGGCUGAAGGGUUUUUGGAGUUCAU
rnacentral:lncRNA from 1 species